AACUGCACAAUGUGGGAAACCACGAUGCGGGAAACCCAAGUGCCAGCACUAUGUGUUGGCUGUCCUCGACUGUUCGUAAGUCGGGAAGAAAGAGCUGGGUAAGACGGGUGCCAGCCGCCGCGGUAAUACCCGCAGCUCAAGUGGUGGUCAUUAUUAUUGGGCCUAAAGCGUCCGUAGCUGGCCUGUUAGAUGCCUGGGUAAAUCGAUGCGCUCAACGUAUCGACUUCCGGGUAGACCGGCAGGCUCGAGACCGGGAGAGGUGUAGGCUACUCGAGGGGUAGGGGUAAAAUCCUGUAAUCCUUCGGGGAGGACCAGUGGCGAAGGCGCUACACUAGAACGGCUCUGACAGUGAGGGACGAAGCCCUGGGGCGCAAACCGGAUUAGAUACCCGGGUAGUCCAGGGUGUAAACGCUGCAGACUUGGUGUCGGUGAUCCUACGAGGGUUGCCGGUGCCGUAGAGAAGUUGUUUAGUCUGCCGCCUGGGGAGUACGGUCGCAAGACUGAAACUUAA
rnacentral:rRNA from 1 species